rnacentral:rRNA from 1 species
AUGACUGAAAAUACUCACUAUAAGGCACCAGCAACUGAAUUGCUUCGUGCUCUACCACUCAGUCCUCCACUUGAUGAUGCUCGUUGUAUCUACAAUGAACCAGAACUUUCAAAUCACUAUAUGCAAGUGCUGAUGAAGCCUUUGAAGCCAAGGCAGGCCCCACAAACCAAAUUCCUCGUCAAGGAAUUAUUGUAUGUGCCUCGGACUGUCUAUCGAAUUCUGAUGAAGACAAUGAGUCCCAUCAAAGGCCACGACUCAAAUGAUGAAGAAGUCGUUGGCAUCAUGAAGAAUAUGCUUUUCAACAUCAUUCAUGGCGUUCCCGUCAACUUCCAUGAUUUCUUCAUGAGGACUCUGGCCAAUAUUGCUAUGUCACCAUUCGAGCUGAAGCCCUAUGCUCCUUGGAUUAUGAGAUUCAUCAGGGCAAGAUCCUCACUGAAUUACAAAGCUGACACUCUGAACCACGGUAGCUACUUGCCUCCCAUUGAAGUCCUCAAACGGACUCUGCUGCAAAUACCUCAGCCAAGCAAACUCCUCAAGCCACAGCACCCAGGGUGA